CCCUGCCCUUUGUACACACCGCCCGUCGCACCUACCGAUUGAGUGGUCCGGUGAAGUCUCGGGCUUGUGGCAAUCUCCUUUAUUGGAGUUUGUCUGCGAGAACUCGCCUGAACCUUAUCACUGAGAGG
rnacentral:rRNA from 1 species